rfam:Chlorella variabilis unplaced genomic scaffold CHLNCscaffold_1, whole genome shotgun sequence.
GAUCGCGUGGCCGAGUGGUCCAAGGCGCUGUGUUAAGGCCGCAGUCCGAAAGGGCGCAGGUUCGAAUCCUGCCGCGAUCA